UACGUAGGGUGCAAGCGUUGUCCGGAAUUAUUGGGCGUAAAGAGCUCGUAGGCGGUUUGUCGCGUCUGCUGUGAAAACUCAGGGCUUAACCCUGAGCCUGCAGUGGGUACGGGCAGACUAGAGUGUGGUAGGGGAGAUCGGAAUUCCUGGUGUAGCGGUGGAAUGCGCAGAUAUCAGGAGGAACACCGGUGGCGAAGGCGGAUCUCUGGGCCGAUACUGACGCUGAGGAGCGAAAGCGUGGGGAGCGAACAGG
rnacentral:rRNA from 1 species